rnacentral:rRNA from 1 species
GUCGAGAAUCUUUCACAAUGGGGGCAACCCUGAUGGAGCGACGCCGCGUGGAGGAUAAGGUCUUCGGAUUGUAAACUCCUGUCAUGCGUGAACAAGGUUGCUUGGUUAAUACCUGGGCAAAUUGAUGGUAACGCAAGAGGAAGAGACGGCUAACUCUGUGCCAGCAGCCGCGGUAAUACAGAGGUCUCAAGCGUUGUUCGGAAUCACUGGGCGUAAAGGGUGCGUAGGUGGCGUGGCAAGUCAGAUGUGAAAGCCCGGGGCUCAACCUCGGAACUGCAUCCGAUACUGCCAUGCUAGAGUACUGGAGGGGUGACUAGAAUUCUCGGUGUAGCAGUGAAAUGCGUAGAUAUCGAGAGGAAUACCAAAGGCGUAGGCAGGUCACUGGACAGUUACUGACACUGAGGCACGAAGGCCAGGGGAGCGAACGGGAUUAGAUACCCCUGUAGUCC